rnacentral:piRNA from 1 species
UCAAUGUUAGGGAAUGGUGCCAUAACUGU